rnacentral:rRNA from 1 species
UGCGCAGGCGGUUUUGUAAGACAGGCGUGAAAUCCCCGGGCUCAACCUGGGAAUUGCGCUUGUGACUGCAAAGCUGGAGUGCGGCAGAGGGGGAUGGAAUUCCGCGUGUAGCAGUGAAAUGCGUAGAUAUGCGGAGGAACACCGAUGGCGAAGGCAAUCCCCUGGGCCUGCACUGACGCUCAUAUGCGAAAGCGUGGGGAUCAAACAGGAUUAGAUACCCGUGUA